AUGAACGUCGUAAAAGUCAAAAACAGUGGUGUAGCUAUUGCAAAAGCUCAACACACAAAGACGCAUCUAGUGACGCAUGAAGAGGACGCAGAUAAACAUGCUGCAUUUGUCUUCAAAACGUGUGAUUAUCAACUAGACGGGCUGAAACAUAAAGGACUAAUGGCUGAUACGGGAGCAACAUCACACAUAAUUACCGACAUCGGAAAGUUUAAGAAAUUUGACGAGACUUUCCAAACGGGCAAACAUUUCAUUGAGCUUGCGGACGGGACAAGAGCGAGUGGCGUUGCGCUGAAGAGAGGUGACGCGGAGAUAUGUUUGAUUGACAGUGAAGGAAAGCAAGUGAGUACAACGCUAAAGAAAGCACUGUACAUUCCUUCAUAUCCACAAGACAUAUUCUCUGUUAAAGCAGCGACUGCCAACGGGGCUUCUGUUCGUUUUCGACAAGGACAUGACGAGCUCAUCCACAAGGAUGGCACGAGAUUUGAAAUAAAAGAGUAUAAUAGACUGUACUAUCUAAACACUAUAGAUAAGGGAGGAGAUUAUUGUAACGGCUGUUACGACAUUCAAACUUGGCACGAAAUCCUCGGCCACUGCAACUAUGAUGAUGUUUCCAAGUUGCCAGAUAUUGUGGAAGGAAUGGAAAUCAAAGGAAAGAUUGACAAGUCCAAACUGCACUGUGAAGUCUGCACACAAGGCAAAUUUGCGCAAAGCAGGAACAGAGAACCCGAUGCACGUGCCAAAGUCCCACUUGAACUUGUGCACACAGACUUGGCUGGUCCUAUUCAACCAGAGGCUAAAGAUGGUCACAGGUAUGCACUUGUAUUUGUUGAUGAUUUCUCAGGCACAAUAUUUGUUUACUUCCUGAAAGCGAAAAGUGACACUGUAAAGGCUACGGAAAAAUUCCUAGCAGACACUGCUCCUUAUGGUACUGUAAAGUGCAUUAGGUCAGAUAAUGGCACUGAAUUCACAGCAACAAAUUUUCGGUCAUUGCUAAGCAAAAAUCGCAUUAAACAUGAGACCUCUGCACCGUAUUCACCCCACCAAAACGGUACUGCUGAAAGAAGUUGGCGAACAUUGUUUGAAAUGGCCAGAUGCAUGCUCAUUGAGAGUAAAUUACCAAAAGAGUUAUGGACUUACGCUGUGAUGACUGCUGCAGUAAUUCGCAACAGAUGCAUUAAUAACAGAGUAAAGCAGACUCCAUACUACAUGUUGACAGGAAGAAAACCGGAUCUUUCAAAGAUGAGAGUUUUUGGAUCCAUGUGCUAUGCAUACAAACACGACAGAAAGAAGCUAGAUUCACGUUGUGAGAAGGGAAUAUUUGUUGGGUAUGACAAGAAUAGCCCUUCAUACCUAGUGUAUUACACAGACACUGGAAGAGUCCUUAAACACAGGCUUGUCAAAUUCUUCAAGAAAUGUGCUGUCGAGCAGCAAACUCAAACUGACCCACAAAUACCAGAUGAGGAUGUUUAUGGGGGAAGUUAUUUGCCAUCUAAGGUAACAACAAACAUCACUGAACAGAGUUCAGGGAAGUCUCAAGAUAGUGGAGACAAAACAGAUCUUCAAAAUGAUGAUCAGACUGAAAAUAUUCAGAAUAGAUGCAACCCCAAAAGGAACAGGAAAGCUCCCCAAUACUUAUCUGACUACGUAACUGGUAUUGAAGAUGAUGAUCAGAUACUUACUAAUAUUGACUACUGUUACAGAAUGUGUAAUGUACCACAAACCUUCAAGGAAGCCAUGAGUUCAACCAAAUCACAGAUCUGGAUUAAAGCCAUGGAAGAAGAGAUGGAUUCUCUAAAAGAAAAUGGAACUUUUACGUUGAUGGCUCUACCCGAAGGCAAACAUGCAGUGGGGGGUAGAUGGGUCUAUGCAAUCAAGAACAAUGCAGAUAACAAUGAAACAUAUAAGGCUAGAUAUGUUGCUAAGGGUUAUAGUCAAGUAAUGGGAAGAGACUAUAAGGAAACCUUUUCUCCAACAGCAAAUAUCACAUCAGUUCGUGUCUUGAUGCAAAUGGCAGCACAGUAUGACCUUGUUCUACAUCAGAUGGAUGUGAAAACGGCUUACUUACAUGCUCCAAUUGAUUGUGAGAUCUAUGUGGAACAGCCAGAAGGUUUUGAGGUAAAAUCAAAUACUGGUGAAAAACUUGUCUGUAAACUGAACAAGUCAUUGUAUGGUCUGAAACAGUCAGGUAGAAACUGGAAUAAGUUACUGCAUGAUUACCUGAGUGAAAAUGACUUUAUGCAAAAUCCUGCAGACUCUUGUGUCUACAGCAGACAAACUGGAAAAGAGAGAGUGAUGCUAAUAAUCUGGGUUGAUGAUCUGAUUAUUGCUUCUAGUACCAACGAGUUACUAAAUGAUGUGAAAAGGAUGCUGACAGCUAAAUUCAAGAUGAAAGACCUUGGUAAAUUAAAACAUUUCCUAGGCAUUGAUUUUGAGCAAAUGGAUGGAGUUGUGAAAAUGAAUCAAAAGGGGUACAUCUUAAAAAUACUGGAAAGGUUCAACAUGUCGAAUAGUAAGUCCAGAUCGACCCCAUGUGAACAAAAGCUAGAGUAUAACGGUGAUGGAAACUCUGUAAACCACACAAGGUAUCGUGAAGCAGUAGGUAGUUUGACCUAUCUAAUGACAUGUACUAGACCAGAUCUUAGUUGGGCUGUGAGUAAAUUGUCUCAAUCUAUGUCAAAACCAAAUGAGCAACACUGGUGUACAGUGAAGCAUGUGAUGAGGUAUCUGAAAGGUACAGUAAACCAAGAACUGACGUACAAGAAGAGUAACGAGAAGCUGAAACUUACGGCAUACAGCGAUGCUGACUGGGCAUCAGAUCCAAAUGACAGACGAAGUACGACUGGAUACUGUUUUAGUCUAACCAAAAAUGGUCCCCUCAUUUCCUGGAAGUCAAAGAAGCAGCCUACAGUUGCUUUGUCAACAUGCGAAGCGGAAUAUAUGGCACUGGCUGCGACCACACAAGAAAGUCUGUACCUUGUACAAUUGAUGAAUGGACUGGAAAAUGGAUGUCAGUAUGCACCGGUAAAAAUCUUUGAGGAUAACCAAGGUGCAAUUGCUCUUUCCAAAAACCCUGUUUGUCGACAAAGAUGUAAACACGUUGACGUUAGGUACCACUUCAUUCGAUCAGCAAUUAGUGAUGGUAAAAUAACAAUUGAGUACUGUCCAACAACAGAAAUGGUUGCUGAUGUGAUGACUAAACCAAUGACGAAGUAUAAGAAAGAAAAGUUUGAAAGCUUUAUGUUUGGGGCAUAA
ensembl:lncRNA